rnacentral:ncRNA from 2 species
CGAAUAUAAGAAGCGCCUGAACUAAUCAGAGUAGAUUAGUUGACGAGGAGGAGGUUUAUCGAACAUUCGGCGGAUGCCUCCCGGUUGAUGACGCACAACCGAAAUUCCUUUUUUCCAAAACACCGGGGUAACCUGAUGGACAAAAGAAAGGAACAUGCGCGA